rnacentral:rRNA from 1 species
AGUGAACGCUGGCGGUAGGCCUAACACAUGCAAGUCGAACGGCAGCACAGUAAGAGCUUGCUCUUACGGGUGGCGAGUGGCGGACGGGUGAGGAAUACAUCGGCAUCUACUUUUUCGUGGGGGAUAACGUAGGGAAACUUACGCUAAUACCGCAUACGACCUACGGGUGAAAUCAGGGGAUCUUCGGACCUUGCGCGAUUGAAUGAGCCGAUGUCGGAUUAGCUAGUUGGCGAGGUAAAGGCCCACCAAGGCGACGAUCCGUAGCUGGUCUGAGAGGAUGAUCAGCCACACUGGAACUGAGACACGGUCCAGACUCCUACGGGAGGCAGCAGUGGGGAAUAUUGGACAAUGGGCGCAAGCCUGAUCCAGCCAUACCGCGUGAGUGAAGAAGGCCUUCGGGUUGUAAAGCCCUUUUGUUGGGAAAGAAAAGCAGCAGGUGAAUACCCCGCUGUUCUGACGGUACCCAAAGAAUAAGCACCGGCUAACUUCGUG